rnacentral:lncRNA from 1 species
AGAGCUAUGAGAACACACGUUUCUGUGGCUUCGAGCCCCCGGUCCGUGGUGCUUGGUGCAGAGGGAUACUGACACGGCUUCUAUAACGGCUGUGCGGCACAUCCUCGGGCGGUCAGCCGGCAGUGAGGUAUCCUGGGAAGCCCCUCGCCUGCGUCCGGGCAUGGAGGGUGCUCGGGGGCAGACGUGGGGUCCCCACGUGCCCCCUGCAGGAGCCCUGGGGGGUGAUCUUGGCACCCUCAUCUGAGGACUUGUCCCCCACGGGGUCUUCCUGUUUAGCGAAUCAGAGCCCCGUCUGCUCUCCCUUCCCUCGCCCCUCGAUGCACUCGGAGCGAAGCCCAUGAGCAGCUCUGACAUGGGUCUCCAGGCCCGUCCCUGAGGCCGGAAGCACUCGGAGUUGCCUCUCUUCUGGCCUGUUGCUGACAACGGGAGUUGGGGUGUCUGUGAACUCAAAGAAACCCGCAUCGGUGCGGCCACUCCAGGCGGUGGCCACUGAGAAGCCAGCUGCCCUGGGCAAGUGGCUCAGAGCAUUCCAGCAGGACUGACGGUGCCCCUCGGGAGCCGUGCACAGCCCCGGAAACGAGCGCCAGAGCCAGGCCAGCUCCAUGGGUCAGCGACGGCGUCCCGCGCCCAACGCGGCCGCCAGGGCACCUCUUUGCUCAGGUGCCACCAGGACCCUUUCUGGCUCCCGUGGUAGCUGCAGACGCAUGUCAGCCUGCUGGUCGUGGGAGGAGGCUGUGACGAGCUCAGUCCUUGAAGCAAGAGUGAUGCCCACCACCAGAUUUGAUUUCUGCUGCAAAGUUUGGCUCUGCUGUGUCCGCAAAGGGAAAAGCAAACGCCCCUCCUGGUCUCACCGCGGGUUUGGCACUAAUGACAGUGUCAGGAAGUCAUUCCAGUUCAGAAAGUACAGACAGUGGCUGUUGGGGUCUGACCACAGGAAAGGCCUCUGAAUUUUUCCAGUAAACACGGUUCAGCUAUGUGGCAAAGUCAUGGGUGGCAGCUAAAAUGACUUUUUACAUUCUACAAAAAAAAAAAAUAACGAUGAACGAAGGACGCCGCCCCAAACGCUGUCGCCUCCUCGCGGCCGUUCCACAUGCACGGAGUCUACUGGGACUUGUCACAGCCGGGUGGCACCGCUUUGUUCUGACUAUACAACGAACUUUUUUUUUUUCUUCAAAAGUAUUUGUUCAGAUAACUUAAAAAAUAAUAUAAAAAUAAACAAUGAAUUUGACUUUUCCUCA